UACGUAGGGGGCAAGCGUUGUCCGGAAUUAUUGGGCGUAAAGAGCGUGUAGGCGGUCCGAUAAGUCGGCUGUGAAAGUCCAGGGCUCAACUCUGGAAUGCCGGCCGAUACUGUCGGACUAGAGUCCGGAAGAGGUGAGUGGAAUUCCCGGUGUAGCGGUGAAAUGCGCAGAUAUCGGGAGGAACACCAAUGGCGAAGGCAGCUCACUGGGACGGCACUGACGCUGAGGCGCGAAAGCGUGGGGAGCGAACGAGGA
rnacentral:rRNA from 1 species